CAAUUCACAUCGAAAACACACUGUUUACAUCUCUUAGUCAUCGUCGUUUUGGUCUCUGGGGCGUCGCAUGUAAAUCUAUUUUAUGGGUCGCCGUUGUUUGCCGUGAAGUCAAAAGUUAUGCAAGCAGCGAGGAUUGCGUGUGCCCUGCACCUAAAUCGCCAAUGAAAACCACAAGCUAAGUGGAAACUCAAAGCCUGAGAGGAUUGUGGGAGCAGAGGGUGGCACAUGUGGCGUGUGGAGUAUACUAGUAUAUAUAGUAUCUGCGUGCCGAAGAUGAAAGCGUUUUAAUUUUUAACGAGCCUGCUUGCCAGAUUCCAACCCGUGUUCUGGGAUCAUCUUUUCGUACUGUUUUGCAUUUGCAAUAACCAGGCAUGACAUUUUUGGCCGCACUUGAUGGAAACAGAACGCUUGAGUUACCCACCAGCCAGAAGCCUCAGGAAUUGAACUAAUCCAGCCAAGCGCUGUCCAUAAAGUGCUGUCCAAGCAGCAUUGAGGUUUUCGGUACGGGAGUGGAGGGACUGGACGCAUCAGUGAGAAAAUUAAAGUAUUAUCCCAGGAGACUCGAUUGCGUGCCACAUUCGAACCCCUUGACCAGCAACCAACUACUGAUAUAUUUAUAUAUAUGGAGCAAUGGUUAUAGUCUUACCUUCAUCCACGGGGGUGGAGUAUGUGUAUGUGUGUGUGUGCUCGUUUGUUCGAUCAAAAGUUACGAGCUCCUUAGAUUGGACAUUAAAUGGACACUAAAAUAUUUUCCAUCUGCACGCAGCAUCCCCAAACCAAACCGAACCAAACCGUACCGUACCGUACCGUACCGGUACAUGCGAAAUAAAUGUCAUGAAACAACUCAUUGACAGGCACAUAAGGACACUGGUUUUAUGGUCCACAGAUAUGACCAAAAUAUAUGAUUACCAUGUGUCCAGCAGCAUGCGAGCUCGUAAAUAGGCAUUUUCUCUGCUUUAGUUCUCUUUCGGACACAACAGCAGCAACAACAACAGCAACAGCAAACACUCACCCCAACCACUCAUCCCCCAACUCACCCCCAUAUUCCAUACGAUGCUCGUCCUGGCCGUUUGGUGACUACUUUUUCUUGAUUUUUGUUGCCUUUCGCUUGGUUAUUUACCAAGUGAUCCAGGUGGGACACAAGCCCGGCAAUGCACUGUCACAGUCUUGGCCAGUCGUAAAAAUCAAAAUAAAAUGAAACUUAUGCGUGAUGUUUGCCCUUUCACAUUCGGUUUUCGCAGUAACCUCUUCAAUAGCUUGUUGCUAUUGCGUGUUUGGGUCACUUGUUCCUAUUACUAAUGACACAAUCUAUAGUUAAAUAGAAUGCGUAAUUUCUGUAUAAAAUGUCGACUUUUAUAGCAUUAGUUAGC